rnacentral:rRNA from 1 species
UACAGAGGUCUCGAGCGUUAGGCGGAAUCACUGGGCUUAAAGCGUGUGUAGGUGGAUCGUUAAGUACCUUGUGAAAUCCCACGGCUUAACCGUGGAACUGCUUGGUAUACUGGCGGUCUUGAGCCAGCUAGGGGCUACCGGAACAAAUGGUGGAGCGGUGAAAUGCGUAGAUAUCGGGAGGAACACCAAUUGCGAAGGCAGCUCGCUGGGACGUUACUGACGCUGAGACGCGAAAGCGUGGGGAGCAACAGG